rnacentral:rRNA from 1 species
GCAGCCGCGGUAAUACGUAGGUCGCAAGCGUUGUCCGGAUUUACUGGGUGUAAAGGGCGUGUAGGCGGAGAUGCAAGUCAGGUGUGAAAUCCCGGGGCUCAACCCCGGAACUGCACUUGAAACUGUAUCCCUUGAGUAUCGGAGAGGCAAGCGGAAUUCCUAGUGUAGCGGUGAAAUGCGUAGAUAUUAGGAGGAACACCAGUGGCGAAGGCGGCUUGCUGGACGACAACUGACGCUGAGGCGCGAAAGCGUGGGGAGCAAACAGGAUUAGAUACCCC